CUAUACAUGCAGUCGAGCGAACAGACGAGGAGCUUGCUCCUUUGACGUUAGCGGCGGACGGGUGAGUAACACGUGGGUAACCUACCUAUAAGACUGGGAUAACUUCGGGAAACCGGAGCUAAUACCGGAUAAUAUUUCGAACCGCAUGGUUCGAUAGUGAAAGAUGGCUUUGCUAUCACUUAUAGAUGGACCUGCGCCGUAUUAGCUAGUUGGUAAGGUAACGGCUUACCAAGGCAACGAUACGUAGCCGACCUGAGAGGGUGAUCGGCCACACUGGAACUGAGACACGGUCCAGACUCCUACGGGAGGCAGCAGUAGGGAAUCUUCCGCAAUGGGCGAAAGCCUGACGGAGCAACGCCGCGUGAGUGAUGAAGGUCUUCGGAUCGUAAAACUCUGUUAUUAGGGAAGAACAAACGUGUAAGUAACUGUGCACGUCUUGACGGUACCUAAUCAGAAAGCCACGGCUAACUACGUGCCAGCAGCGGCCCGGGUAAUAA
rnacentral:rRNA from 1 species